rnacentral:rRNA from 1 species
UUCCGGUUGAUCCUGCCGGAGGUCACUGCUAUUGGAGUUCGAUUAAGCCAUGCGAGUCGAGAGGGUUCGGCCCUCGGCAUACUGCUCAGUAACACGUGGAUAAUCUGCCCUUGGGUCAGGGAUAACCUCGAGAAAUUGAGAAUAAUACCUGAUAGUUAUGGAAUGCUGGAAUGCUUCCAUAUAAAAAGCUCAGGCGCCCAAGGAUGAGUCUGCGGUCUAUUAGGUUGUAGUGAGUGUAAGGGACUUACUAGCCUUCGAUGGAUACGGGCCUUGAGAGAGGUAGCCCGGAGAUGGGAUCUGAGACACGAUCCCGGACCCUACGGGGUGCAGCAGUUGCGAAACCUUCACAAUGUGGGAAACCACGAUGAGGAGAUUCCAAGUGCCAACACCCAGUGUUGGCUUUUCAACUGUCUAAAACGCAGUUGGAAUAAGGGCCGGGUAAGACUGGUGCCAGCCGCCGCGGUAACACCAGCGGCUCGAGUGGUGGCCUUUAUUAUUGAGCUUAAAGCGUCCGUAGCCUGUCUAGUAAAUCUCUGGGUAAAUCGAACGGCUUAACCGUUCGAAUGCCAGGGAGACUGCUAGACUUGGGGCCGGGAGAGGCUAGAGGUACUCCUGGGGUAGAGGUAAAAUUCCGUAAUCUUAGGAGGACCACCAGUGGCGAAAGCGUCUAGCUAAAACGGACCCGACGGUGAGGGACGAAGCCCUGGGGCGCGAACCGGAUUAGAUACCCGGGUAGUCCAGGGUGUAAACGAUGUGGGCUUGGUGUCGACAGUCUUACGCGGGCAGUCGGGUGCCGUAGAGAAAUUGUUAAGCCCACCGCUUGGGAAGGUACGGGUUGCAAGACUGAAACUUAAAGGAAUUGGCGGGGGAGCAC